rnacentral:tRNA from 2 species
UGAGGGAUAGUUUAACGGCAGAACAACGGACUCUGACUCCGUGAGUCGUGGUUCGAAUCCACGUCCCUCAG